AUUCAGAGCAGAUGGAGGGUCUGGCUUUCCACAAUUUAUGAUCAAGGAAGGGAAUGAAAAGCUCUCCUUGCACAAUGGCUGUUUGAGCUCAAAGUGAGGCUGAAAUGCUGACACAAGGUCACUGGACUGUUUGAUUCUAUUACUGUAGAAGGAGUAAAGGAUGUGGCUAUAGGGAUGAGUUUGGACAAGGGGCAAACCACCGCAGGCUUGGAGUUGUGCUUUACAAGGGGUGCUUGAAUCUAAAAGACUGAUACAACACACCUAGCCUCGCCGAGGAGCCCUAGCUAUGGACCAGAACCCCAUUGUGCUAGGCACUAUACAAAAACAGAACAAAACAAACAGUCUCUGCCCCACAGAGCUUGACGUUGGAAUAAACUGACAGCUGUUGUAUGAGGACGCCAAUCCAUUGACUUCAGAGUAUUUCUAUACAGUGUUACACUGCAUGCUGAAGAAGAAUAUUUGAGAUGCUUUGCCACUCAGGGAGGAUGGAAUAUUGCUGCAAUUCUUAGUAUACUUCAGCUGUUCCUUAAGUGCCUUUUUAAUUCCUUGAGCAACUAGUGCCACUUCAAUGACUUCCCUUUUUACAUCACAUCCUGUGCCUAGAAUGGUGGAAAGGCUGCUCCAGUGAUACUCUUAUAUGGCAGUCUAAAAUGUCUCUAGGUCCAGUAGGAAUAAUGCAAAAAUUGCAGACUGAUCAUGCGAGAACUGAUGUCACUAAACCAGAAGUAAUCUAAGCACCCAAAGGUCCUGCCAAUGGUGGCUCCCUCUGGCUGCGGUUCGCUGGUCCAGGCCAAUGGGAGCUACGGGAAGCGGCGCGGGCCGAGGGACGUACCAGUUUUUUCCAGACAAAGGAAAGGGGUUGACAACUCAAGCCAGGUGUGGCCAAGGACAUUGGGCUAUUCAUUUGUAUCAGAGAUUUAAAUACGAUCAUUUGCUUUAUAAAAAAUCAAAAGUGUGAGAGAAGGCAGCAUGGCAUCAAUACCAGACAGCCUGGCUUCUAUACACAGCAGGGGAAAGGAGCUUUAUCUGGGGAUACACAUCAAAAGAAUACAUUUCAAAGGUUUACGGGACUAUGAAGAGAGGAGAAGAGAACCUCUAACUUUAUCCUUCACCUGAGGGAGAAAAAGUAACCCAGCUUUUGGGCUCUGUGUUGGAUCCUGGCUAAGAACCAUCCAAUCAUGCUGGAAGAAUAGCUAUGGUGAAGAAACUUUGAACAAAAGACACUGGUUUGUUAAGCUGAGUUUUGGUUUUGGUAGCAUAUUUUCACUUUUGUUUGUCUGUAACCAUUUCUACCCCUAUUACUUCUACUUGGUAUCACUGAAACCUAUGUCCU